GCAGCAUUCUCUGAUUUCACUUCCCAGCAGCUCCUGUCUCUGACUCUCGCGGCCUGCGUGCCGUGCGGAGCGUCGCAAUGGUAGCCCGUGGCAAUGCUCUGACAGCCGUGGAACUUGAGAGAUUUAGAGACAGGAGCUGCUGGGAAGUGAAGUCAGAGAAUGCUGU